rnacentral:tRNA from 1 species
UCCCUGGUGGUCCAGUGGUUAGGACUCCGUGCUUUCAAUGCUGUGGCCCAGAUUCAAUCCCUGGUCAGGGAA